rfam:Ricinus communis cultivar Hale ctg_1100012349983, whole genome shotgun sequence.
CAAUCGGCUCUAUUUAGAGCCAAUUGGCAAACUUAAAAAUCUUUGU